GUCUACUGUGGACCUUUUUCACUGGUGGGCAAGUUGCAGUGGGUCAAAAUUGUCUGGGAUACAGGAGUUGACGAGUGCCAUAACCAUCUUCUCAAAGCACUUCACAAUGGUGGACAGCAUAAUAAGUGCUGCUGAAGAACUACUCUCCUGUCUGCUCAGCUUGGCUCUGCAAACACUUCCCACACGUGUGUGGGCAGCCGAAUCGAGGGAAUUGAAAUAGAUGAAGCCGUCAACAACAUGAAGCGUGUGAUGGAGAUACACAGGGACACGCCGGUUCCUCACCGCGGCAACCACUAACAAGGCCACUCCUGGCACCAGGCUUUCACAGCAGAACAAAGAAAUAUAAUAGAAGCAAUGAAAAACUACAAACAAAGACUUACAAACAACCAAAGUGCAAAAGACAAAAUGUGCGAACAAAAAUACAUGAAUACAUACAGUAGAUGAAUAAAUAAAUUAAUUAAUAAUACCGAGAAUAUGAGUUGUCGAGUCCUUGAAAGUGAUUCCAUCAGUUCAGAGUUGAGGUGAGUGUAGUGAUCCAUGCUGGUUCAGGAGCCUGAUGGUUGGAGGGUAAUUACUGUUCCUGAACCUAGUGGUGUAGGACCUAAGGCUUCAGUAUCUACUUCUCAAUGGCAGCAGU